rnacentral:rRNA from 1 species
GGGUUGUGAGGUUAAGCGACUAAGCGUACACGGUGGAUGCCCUGGCAGUCAGAGGCGAUGAAGGGCGUGCUAAUCUGCGAUAAGCGCCGGUAAGGUGAUAUGAACCGUUAUAACCGGCGAUACCCGAAUGGGGAAACCCAGUGUGAUUCGUCACACUAUCAUUAACUGAAUCCAUAGGUUAAUGAGGCGAACCGGGGGAACUGAAACAUCUAAGUACCCCGAGGAAAAGAAAUCAACCGAGAUUCCCCCAGUAGCGGCGAGCGAACGGGGAGGAGCCCAGAGCCUGAAUCAGCAUGUGUGUUAGUGGAAGCGUCUGGAAAGGCGCGCGAUACAGGGUGACAGCCCCGUACACAAAAGCGCAUGUGCUGUGAGCUCGAUGAGUAGGGCGGGACACGUGGUAUCCUGUCUGAAUAUGGGGGGACCAUCCUCCAAGGCUAAAUACUCCUGACUGACCGAUAGUGAACCAGUACCGUGAGGGAAAGGCGAAAAGAACCCCGGCGAGGGGAGUGAAAAAGAACCUGAAACCGUGUACGUACAAGCAGUGGGAGCCCCACCACCAAAGCAUUCUCUGGUGUUGAAGGCCCUGCAAAGCAGCAUCGCGGUGGCGGAGCGUCGUUUGCGACGCCCAACACACAAAACAAGCGGUGAAUGCUUUGGGGUGGGGUGACUGCGUACCUUUUGUAUAAUGGGUCAGCGACUUAUAUUCUGUAGCAAGGUUAACCGAAUAGGGGAGCCGGAGGGAAA